rnacentral:tRNA from 1 species
GAUUGUAUAGUCUAGUGGUCAGGACGUGGGAUUCUGAUUCCCGAAGCCCCGGUUCGAUCCCGGGUACGAUCU